CCAUUCGCUGCUUAUGAAGUCUCCUAAGAUCUUUGACAAGAACUCCUCCUAAGAUAAAUUGUUCGGUCCUAUCAAUUUCUGUCCAUCCCUUAUUCUUGACACUUUUCAUACCCAUAUUGUCCUUCUUCAUGUCUACAAAACAAAUGUAAUCGAUUUAAUUAGACAAUCUAAUUAAACGGUAAAAGAAAGUCUACAGAAUCCUAACCUAGUUGCUCUGAUACCACAAUUGUAACACCCCAAAUCUAACACGUGCGGAGCACGUGAAGAAGGAGGUUACUCACAAAUCAUAAUCUUUACUCAUAAGUUUCAAACUGAAAUUCCUCCAAUUCUUAUUCAAAUAAAUCCAUAAAUCCAAACGUCAAAUACUAAAUAAUCUCUCUCGAGGACAUAAAAAUAAUAACAAAAGUCUCAAACUCCAAAUUACACGUUCAUAAUAAAAGUAACUAAAUAGAAACACAAGUCUAUUCCUCCUCUUAUUCAAUAGCAAAUGGAAACUGGAAAUCAUUAACUCCAAAGCUAAGUGCACCUCUCAAAAGAAACUUAAUCUGCAAAAAAGUAAUGACGAGGGGUGAGUCGUCAACUCGGUAAGUAAAACCAUUCCUAACACACUAGGCCUAUCGAUACCAAAAAUAUUGCAAGCCUUCUUUUGUUUAAAGCAUAUAUCAUAAUCCAUAAUUUUCAUAAAACGAUAUAUCACAAUAACAUAAGAUAAAUUCUUAAUAAUUCAGAAUAUUCAAAAGCAUAUUUACUUACGAAUCAACUCAUGUAAUACGUAUACAGAAAACAAACAGGUUAGCUCAUGUCACAUAGUGUCACCUAUAGUCCCGGUGACCCGGCCAGAAACAUAAUCAGAAUAUCGUGUGCACAUUCAGAACAGAAACCCAGUACUGGUCCAGACAGAUAUAUCGUAUAUUACGAUCAGAAUCAGAAUCAGAAUCAGAAUAACUAUGGACAAUGAGCCAAAACAUUAAGAAUCUCAUACAAUCAUCAAUAAUUGAAAUCAAACAUAGGUACAAAACAUUCGUAUCAGUUUCAUAAAAGUUCAUAUCAAUAAUAUAGGCUUGCAUAACAUUUUAAAGAUAACAUCAUAAAAGGUU
rnacentral:lncRNA from 1 species